rnacentral:lncRNA from 1 species
CAUCAGCAGACACCUCUGCAACUGAGGCCUCUACAUCUUUAGGUCCAACGCCUAUCCCCACAACCGAACCUUCCCCAACAUCGCCUCCAAUAAUGUCCUCAACACCCCAACCCACGGCAUCAGUAGUUCCAUCACACAUGUCUACAUCACAACCCAGCACCACACCAGCUCUUUUAUCAACUUCACCUUCUGAGCUCAGUAGAACUCCACAUUCAACACCAACCACAGCCUUAGAGCCCACAACACCAGCUCUAUCAUCACCAACCCCCUCAGGCUCCACCACAUCCCCAGAUCAACCAUCAUCAUCCAAACCCACCACAAUUACACCUCAAACAUCAACCACCCUAACACCAGCUCUAUCAUCAUCAGCCCCCUCAGGCUCCACCACAUCCCCAGAUCAACCAUCAUCAUCCAAACCCACCACAAUUACACCUCAAACAUCAACCACCCUAACACCAGCUCUAUCAUCAUCAGCCCCCUCAGGCUCCACCACAUCCCCAGAUCAACCAUCAUCAUCCAACCCCACCACAAUUACACCUCAAACAUCAACCACCCUAACACCAGCUCUAUCAUCAUCAGCCCCCUCAGGCUCCACCACAUCCCCAGAUCAACCAUCAUCAUCCAACCCCACCACAAUGACACCUCAAACACCAACCACCCUAACACCAGCUCUAUCAUCAUCAGCCCCCUCAAGCUCCACCACAUCCCCAGAUCAACCAUCAUCAUCCAACCCCACCACAAUGACACCUCAAACACCAACCACCCUAACACCAGCUCUAUCAUCACCAGCCCCCUCAAGCUCCACCACAUCCCCAGAUCAACCAUCAUCAUCCAACCCCACCACAAUGACACCUCAAACACCAACCUCAACACUAGAAUUGACUGCAUUAUCUUCAGCAUCAACAUCAAUACUACAAACCACCCUAACACCAGCUAUAACAGCAGCCUCUACUUUAGGCUCCACCUCAACACCAGAUCAACCAUCGACAUCAGAACCCAUCACAGCAUCACCUCAAACAUUCACUUCAACAUCACAGUCUACGGCACAAUCUUUAUCCUCAGACUCAGUGACAAUCACAACACAGGCUUCAUCAUCUGACUCUACCUUCCCUUCAUCUACACCAGCAGGUCCAACUCAAACAUCUGUUUCUGUAUCCGCCACAACACCAGUUCCAUCGACACAAGAUUUAACAUCAACAUCAGCAAAUCUAGAAACAAACGGCACAGCACUCACAUCCACAAAUGGAGUGUUCAAGCAAUCAUCAACUCAAGCUGCCACAACAAUGAUGGAAAAUGCAACUUCAGCCCCAGCAUCACAGCCCAACACAACAGCUGCAACAAUGAUACCAACAGCAGGAGUGUUCAAGCAAUCAUCAACUCAAGCUGCCACAACAAUGAUGGAAAAUGCAACUUCAGCCCCAGCAUCACAGCCCAACACAACAGCUGCAACAAUGAUACCAACAGCAGGUAACACAAGUCUUUUGACACCAUCCAGAAGUUGAAAAUGUUUAAAAUCUAUUUUAGAACAUGGGGACUUUACAAACUCUAAUAAUCCCUUCAGAUACUACCCCUUUACACAGAAAAGAGGAUGUAUGUUAAUUCAAUUGAAAUCCACUUGAGAA